rnacentral:rRNA from 1 species
AUGGCCCAUCACCACCUCCUCCCUUUACUCCUCGUCCUCGUCCUCCCCCUCUUCGCCUCCGCCGCGGCCACCGGCGACGAGGCGCACCUCUCCGCGGUGAUCGGCGACACGGGCCUGGCCUUCGCCAAGGACGUGCUGAUCGGCGAGGCGGUGCGGUCGCUCACCCCGCUCCGCCUCCCCGGGGCGGAGAAGGCCUUUCGCGUGCCCUUCCUCGGCGGCAUCCGCGCCGCCGUCUCCAACAUCACGCUCUUCCACCUCGACGUGGGGGAUGACUCUGUUGUUCGCCUCGGCGACUCGGCCCUCGUCGUCGUCGCCUCCGGCAUUACCGCCAACAUCAGCAUGGCCUGGAGCUACUCCUACUACUCCUGGUACUUCCCCGUGGAGAUCUCCGACAGCGGCACCGCCUCGAUCCUGGUUCAAGGAAUGGAAGUUGGGACAACCAUGGAAAUCAAGAAUUACAAUGGAAGUUUGGCUCUGAAUGCCACACAAUGUGGUUGUUCUGUGAAGGACUUGGUGAUAUCUCUGGAUGGUGGAGCAUCUUGGUUUUAUCAAGGGUUUAUAAAUGCUUUUGAGGACCAUAUUAGAGCUGCGGUUGAAAAGGUAAUACCGGAAAAUAUUAUUGGCAGCACAUCAAAACUGGACUCGUUGCUUCAAGGUCUUCCUAGGAGUGUCAGUCUGGACAAUGUCACUGCUCUGAACAUGACUUUUGUCAAUGAUCCACAAUACGGGAAUUCCUCAAUUGAGUUUGAUAUCAGUGGAUUGUUCACUUCUACAGUUGCUAAGACUAGCAAUUUGCAGAAGCAUCCCCAGCUUUCAUUAUCUUGUGGUGGAGCAUCAAAUAUGCUUUUGCUUUCACUCGAUGAAGAUGUAUUCAAUUCGGCAUUAGAGGCUUACUUCAAGGCAGGUUCCAUGCAUUGGGUUGUCGACAAAGUUCCUGAUCAAUCUCUACUGAAUACAGCAGGCUGGAAAUUUAUUAUUCCUCGCUUGUAUUGGAACUAUCCAAAUGAUGACAUGGUCCUGAACAUUUCGAUGACUUCAUCCCCACUAAUGAGGAUUACAUCUGAAAAGAUUGGUGCUACCAUUAAUGCAGACAUGAUAAUUGAUGUUUUACAUGGCACGGAGACGGUUCCAGUUGCAUGCAUCUCUGUAGUAGUUAGCGCGUCAGGUGUUGUGGAGGCAUCAGGGGAUAAAGUAUAUGGUACGGUUGGCUUAAAUGAUUUCUCUCUUUCCUUGAAGUGGAGUAAAAUCGGAAACUUCCAUAUGUCUUUGAUUCAGGGAGUGAUACGUGUUUUCUUGAACACCGUAUGCAUGCCAUAUCUGAACUCACACCUGGGGAAUGGAUAUAUCUUACCUGUGGUUCAUGGCUUCACUUUGAAAGACAUAUAUGUAGUUACUUCUACCGAACAGUUGAUGCUCUGUUCAGAUAUUACCUUCGCAAAUGCAAGCCGCUUGGCGGCUUUACCAGUUUUGUGA